UACGUAGGGUGCAAGCGUUAUCCGGAAUUAUUGGGCGUAAAGAGCUCGUAGGCGGUUUGUCGCGUCUGCUGUGAAAACCCGAGGCUCAACCUCGGGCCUGCAGUGGGUACGGGCAGACUAGAGUGCGGUAGGGGAGAUUGGAAUUCCUGGUGUAGCGGUGGAAUGCGCAGAUAUCAGGAGGAACACCGAUGGCGAAGGCAGAUCUCUGGGCCGUAACUGACGCUGAGGAGCGAAAGCAUGGGGGGCAAACAGG
rnacentral:rRNA from 1 species